ensembl:lncRNA
GAGUGGGAGUGCCUUCCACCCCCUCCCAACCAAAGGACUUUGGUUGAAGGAGAGAAAGAGAAUGACACUGGGGUUCACGGCAAGGUCUCCUGUCCACGUGGUGAUGUGGCUGCAGAGGCUUCCGGUGGGAACACAUGGACUUCCCACCCCCGUGCUCCAUCUGCCCACACUCGGUCAUAUCUUUGCUACCUUCCUGGCAUCUGAAGGGUCUAGGAGUCUGAAUGCCAUUAGUCACCACACUGCCAGGCAUCUACGUGGAUACAGACAUAGGAGGGACUCUCAGGGGAGAGCUAGCAACCAAAACACCCCACACCAUGGCUUGCUGGUCAUUAGGAGCCUUGGGAUUCACACCAUUUCUUGCACCCUCUGAUGUGACAUCUUUCCCGUGAGCCCUUCUGUAGUCUCCUUAUAGAGCAAUAGCAAAGGAUUUCCAGCUCCCCUGGGAAGCUUAUGAUGAAAUCAUAUUUAUAAAUCUGCUCACUCUUUCCACCACUCUGCUUUUACCAGAAUUUUUGUAAGUGUGCUCUCUUAAUCUUACAGUUAAUAAAUUAAAUGAAGAAGAAACAAAGGAAAAAUGCUGGAUCUCAGAGCACAUCUCAGAGGCUUACGGGUGCGAUAGUUGUAGAAGGGAACUUGAGCCAGCCACCACCGGAGUCUGGGGUCUGGCUUCAGCAUCUCUGGGAAUGUUCAAGGCAUUCUACCCACCCCAGAGGUCUUUAAUCCCUGGGC